rnacentral:rRNA from 1 species
CGGGUGAGUAACACGUGGGUAACCUGCCCAGAAGCAGGGGAUAACACCUGGAAACAGAUGCUAAUACCGUAUAACAGAGAAAACCGCCUGGUUUUCUUUUAAAAGAUGGCUCUGCUAUCACUUCUGGAUGGACCCGCGGCGCAUUAGCUAGUUGGUGAGGUAACGGCUCACCAAGGCGAUGAUGCGUAGCCGACCUGAGAGGGUAAUCGGCCACAUUGGGACUGAGACACGGCCCAG